GGUGAACGCUGGCGGCGUGCCUAAGACAUGCAAGUCGAGCGGGGCAGGUUUAUACCUGUUCAGCGGCGGACGGGGGAGUACCGCGUGGGUGACCUACCCGGAAGAGGCGGACAACCUGGGGAAACCCAGGCUAAUCCGCCAUGUGGUCCUGUCCUGUGGGGCAGGACUAAAGGGGCGACCCGCUUCCGGAUGGGCCCGCGUCCCAUCAGCUAGUUGGUGGGGUAAAGGCCCACCAAGGCGACGACGGGUAGCCGGUCUGAGAGGAUGGCCGGCCACAGGCGCACUGAGACACGGGCCCCACUCCUACGGGAGGCAGCAGUUAGGUAUCUUCCGCAAUGGACGGAAGUCUGACGGAGCGACGCCGCUUGGAGGAGGAAGCCCUUCGGGGUGUAAACUCCUGAACUGGGGACGAAAGCCCCGUGUAGGGGGAUGACGGUACCCAGGUAAUAGCGCCGGCCAACUCCGUG
rnacentral:rRNA from 1 species